AUUGAACGCUGGCGGCAUGCCUUACACAUGCAAGUCGAACGGCAGCACGGGGCAACCUGGUGGCGAGUGGCGAACGGGUGAGUAAUGCAUCGGAACGUACCUUUCAGUGGGGGAUAACGUAGCGAAAGUUACGCUAAUACCGCAUAUUCUGUGAGCAGGAAAGCAGGGGAUCGCAAGACCUUGCGCUGAUUGAGCGGCCGAUGUCAGAUUAGCUAGUUGGUGAGGUAAAGGCUCACCAAGGCGACGAUCUGUAGCGGGUCUGAGAGGAUGAUCCGCCACACUGGAACUGAGACACGGUCCAGACUCCUACAGGAGGCAGCAGUGGGGAAUUUUGGACAAUGGGGGCAACCCUGAUCCAGCCAUGCCGCGUGAGUGAAGAAGGCCUUCGGGUUGUAAAGCUCUUUCGGCCGGGAAGAAAUCGCACGGGCUAAUACCCUGUGUGGAUGACGGUACCGGAAUAAGAAGCACCGGCCAACUACGUGCCAGCCGCCGCCGUAAUAC
rnacentral:rRNA from 1 species